AAAUUGAAGAGUUUGAUCAUGGCUCAGAUUGAACGCUGGCGGCAGGCCUAACACAUGCAAGUCGAACGGUAACAGGAAGCAGCUUGCUGCUUUGCUGACGAGUGGCGGACGGGUGAGUAAUGUCUGGGAAACUGCCCGAUGGAGGGGGAUAACUACUGGAAACGGUAGCUAAUACCGCAUAACGUCGCAAGACCAAAGAGGGGGACCUUCGGGCCUCUUGCCAUCGGAUGUGCCCAGAUGGGAUUAGCUAGUAGGUGGGGUAAUGGCCCACCUAGGCGACGAUCCCUAGCUGGUCUGAGAGGAUGACCAGCCACACUGGAACUGAGACACGGUCCAGACUCCUACGGGAGGCAGCAGUGGGGAAUAUUGCACAAUGGGCGCAAGCCUGAUGCAGCCAUGCCGCGUGUGUGAAGAAGGCCUUCGGGUUGUAAAGCACUUUCAGCGGGGAGGAAGGCAGUACGGUUAAUAACCGUGCUGAUUGACGUUACCCGCAGAAGAAGCACCGGCUAACUCCGUGCCAGCAGCCGCGGUAAUACGGAGGGUGCAAGCGUUAAUCGGAAUUACUGGGCGUAAAGCGCACGCAGGCGGUCUGUCAAGUCGGAUGUGAAAUCCCCGGGCUCAACCUGGGAACUGCAUUCGAAACUGGCAGGCUUGAGUCUUGUAGAGGGGGGUAGAAUUCCAGGUGUAGCGGUGAAAUGCGUAGAGAUCUGGAGGAAUACCGGUGGCGAAGGCGGCCCCCUGGACAAAGACUGACGCUCAGGUGCGAAAGCGUGGGGAGCAAACAGGAUUAGAUACCCUGGUAGUCCACGCCGUAAACGAUGUCGACUUGGAGGUUGUGCCCUUGAGGCGUGGCUUCCGGAGCUAACGCGUUAAGUCGACCGCCUGGGGAGUACGGCCGCAAGGUUAAAACUCAAAUGAAUUGACGGGGGCCCGCACAAGCGGUGGAGCAUGUGGUUUAAUUCGAUGCAACGCGAAGAACCUUACCUGGUCUUGACAUCCACGGAAUUUGGCAGAGAUGCCUUAGUGCCUUCGGGAACCGUGAGACAGGUGCUGCAUGGCUGUCGUCAGCUCGUGUUGUGAAAUGUUGGGUUAAGUCCCGCAACGAGCGCAACCCUUAUCCUUUGUUGCCAGCGGUCCGGCCGGGAACUCAAAGGAGACUGCCAGUGAUAAACUGGAGGAAGGUGGGGAUGACGUCAAGUCAUCAUGGCCCUUACGACCAGGGCUACACACGUGCUACAAUGGCGCAUACAAAGAGAAGCGACCUCGCGAGAGCAAGCGGACCUCAUAAAGUGCGUCGUAGUCCGGAUUGGAGUCUGCAACUCGACUCCAUGAAGUCGGAAUCGCUAGUAAUCGUGGAUCAGAAUGCCACGGUGAAUACGUUCCCGGGCCUUGUACACACCGCCCGUCACACCAUGGGAGUGGGUUGCAAAAGAAGUAGGUAGCUUAACCUUCGGGAGGGCGCUUACCACUUUGUGAUUCAUGACUGGGGUGAAGUCGUAACAAGGUAACCGUAGGGGAACCUGCGGUUGGAUCACCUCCUUACCUUAAAGAA
rnacentral:rRNA from 1 species